rnacentral:lncRNA from 1 species
CCUGGUUGAAGAGUAACAUUUUUUUAUUUCAUUUCGGUUGUUAAUAGGAAAUAAAUAAAUUUGGUGUUUUUACUGUCUUCUGAUUGGUUAAAAUUAUUAGUUUUAUUUUCAAUGUUGUCAAUUUUGAUCGUGACACGCCCACUCUGACGUUGUGUAUUCAUACGCAAACAUGUGUGUACGUUGCUAUUGUUAAUAUAAAUAAUAUAAAAAGUUCUUUGAGCCUUAUUUUUGAUAGAAAUUUAUUUAUAAUGAAUGACAAUUAUUUAUUUUGAUUUUAUUGAACCAUAAAACUAAUUUUUGACUCUUCACAUUUUACA